AUAUCAAUAAGCGGAGGAAAAGAAACCAACAGGGAUUGCCCUAGUAACGGCGAGUGAAGCGGCAACAGCUCAAAUUUGAAAUCUGGCGUCUUCGGCGUCCGAGUUGUAAUUUGCAGAGGGCGCUUUGGCAUUGGCAGCGGUCCAAGUUCCUUGGAACAGGACGUCACAGAGGGUGAGAAUCCCGUACGUGGUCGCUAGCCUUUACCGUGUAAAGCCCCUUCGACGAGUCGAGUUGUUUGGGAAUGCAGCUCUAAAUGGGAGGUAAAUUUCUUCUAAAGCUAAAUACUGGCCAGAGACCGAUAGCGCACAAGUAGAGUGAUCGAAAGAUGAAAAGCACUUUGGAAAGAGAGUUAAAAAGCACGUGAAAUUGUUGAAAGGGAAGCGCUUGCAGCCAGACUUGCCUGUAGUUGCUCAUCCGGGUUUCUACCCGGUGCACUCUUCUAUAGGCAGGCCAGCAUCAGUUUGGGCGGUUGGAUAAAGGUCUCUGUCAUGUACCUCCUUUCGGGGAGAUCUUAUAGGGGAGACGACAUGCAACCAGCCUGGACUGAGGUCCGCGCAUCUGCUAGGAUGCUGGCGUAAUGGCUGUAAGCGGCCCGUCUUGAAACACGGACCAAGGAGUCUAACAUCUAUGCGAGUGUUUGGGUGUCAAGCCCGAACGCGUAAUGAAAGUGAACGGAGGUGGGAACCUUUCGGGGUGCACCAUCGACCGAUCCUGAUGUCUUCGGAUGGAUUUGAGUAAGAGCAUAGCUGUUGGGACCCGAAAGAUGGUGAACUAUGCUUGAAUAGGGUGAAGCCAGAGGAAACUCUGGUGGAGGCUCGCAGCGGUUCUGACGUGCAAAUCGAUCGUCAAAUUUGGGCAUAGGGGCGAAAGACUAAUCGAACUAUCUAGUAGCUGGUUCCUGCC
rnacentral:rRNA from 1 species